UUUCAGUACACUUCCGAGAGUUCUACCGGUUAGUCAUGACGAGUUUUAGUGCUCUGUCUCAGUGUAAUUUUAAAUAAAUUAAAAAAUAAUUAAUUGUUCAAUAUAUAUAAUUAAUAUAAGAAUUUAUAUUAAAAUAAAUCCAUUGAAUAUAUUGAGUAGCCGGUUCAUAAUAACAAGCAUACCGUAUUCCAAUACUCUUGUGCGGCUAAAGUGAUUCACCUGUAUUUCGCCACUUCGUCAUUCUCAAUGAGCAUGCUGAGAUUUUUUAUUUAGUUGUCAGACUGGCGAUUACCAUAACAAAAAACAGAAGAAAAGUGAAAAACAAAAUCGAAGGCGUCAGUUGCGAGCAGUUAUUGCUGAAUUUGCGUGAAUUGUAAAUAAAUAAAAGCGGUUCGAAGUUUAGAUAUGCGUGCAAAUAUUGAAGUAGUGAAUUCAUAACGCUCAGGGUGGUUGCUAAAAUGCUGAUUUUAUUCAAUAUUGUGAUUAUUGAUUUGUUUUAUACUACAUCGCUCGGUGAAAUAAAGGAAUAGUCCUGGGAAAAAAGUUCAGACAGGUUUGACGUUUAAGAUUUUCUAAACUUUUAAAGGAUCAGUCGCAAAUUACUGCAUUUACUGCCUCGGUUCCACCCAAAUAUACAUACAUAGUACUACUUAUACAUACAUUAAUACAGACUUCGAUACAACAGAGGCUAGUGCAUCAUUACAGCACGCCAUGGAUGCGUCCAGUAAUAAUAUGAAAGUAAGCAAUUGGGAAAAAUUCAAAUUGUUGUUGUGGAAAAACUGGAAUCUACAAUGGAACCACAAAAUCGAA